UCUUGUAAAAGAUUUCGGGCCACUAGACACGAGGUUUGGGCUUGUGGGCCUUGGACCCAAGCCUAAGCCCACUUAAAACAGCAUUUAACCUAACUAUAAAUAACUUAGUAACCCUAACCCUUGUCAUUUUGUUCGGCCGCUACCUAUCAAAUUCCCUGAUAUUGUGAGUCUACAACCUUAUCUUCAAGAAACACUAAACACAGACAAAACAUCAUCAUCUUCACUCUCCUUCAAAACCUCAGAACUACAACAUCAGCUACACACCUCUCAACCCCACUCUCUCCACCCUCAAUGGCCGACCACCACCACCGUCUGGUGGUGGUGCUACGAUGAAAUGAGAAGACAGAACGGGAGAGAGAGAGCAACGACUAAUGUCCGUCGGUGGAUCGAGUUUUCUGGCGACAAAUCCGCCGUCGGUGGCGGACCCGCGGCGGCGACGAUGGUGUUUUUGGUCCGACGGGUUUCAUGGUUCGAUUGAAGGUUGACGGUAGCCGUGGUGGUUAUCGACGGUGUAGAUGAUGAACGAUGAUGAUGGGGUAGCCGCUGAUGAGGAUGGCACGGAGGUGAGGCUCCGGUGGGUUUCACGGCAGCCGUCUCCACCCGACAGAAACUCCGGUUUCGGGUUUAGUUGGUUCAAGAUCGGUUCGGUCAACAAAAAUCAACUUGUGGUUUGGCUCAUAUUACGGUUCGGAUCAGUUUCGGGUGGUUCGGGUUCGCGACACGUCAGUCAACGAAAGUCAACUGGUCGAACCCGAGUCAACUCGAGUCAACACAGUUAAAGCGGGUUAACUCAGUGCUCGGUUCACACGGUUCGCAUUGGUCUCCGGACAGAUUUGUUCGGGUUCAGAUUUAAGCAUCGAGCAUCGGUCAACCUCAGUCAACACGGUCACUAGUCAACACGGGUCAGACCCGGUCAACACAGUCAAAACCCGGUCAACUCAGGACCCGGUAACGUUCAGUACGUUAAUUAGAUUUUAUAUAGUUAAACGCGAAACCGAGCUCAACCGAUACCGUUGGUGAUUAUCUACGUUUUAUUUUGUCGAAAAGUUAUUAUAUAUUGAUUUAAUCGAUUGAAUUAUUGUGAGUUUUGAAAAGAAAAUACGACGACUUUUAUUGUCGGGUUAUUCCAAAAACAAAGGAAGCUCUGUCCGUUUUUCAUAAAA